GGCGAACCGCCCUUUCUGGGGCGCCCGCGCCCGGGCCCGACCCGAAGCCCCUGCCAGCGGAGGAGCCGGGGCGGCCCAGUCCGCGUGGGGAGCGGUUUCCCGCCGGGGCGAUUUGGCAGGCAAGCCGAUUUUUUCAGUUGAUAUUCACCCUGACGGGACCAAGUUCGCAACUGGAGGACAAGGGCAGGAUUCUGGGAAGGUUGUGAUCUGGAAUAUGUCUCCAGUCCUCCAGGAGGAUGACGAGAAGGAUGAAAAUAUUCCCAAGAUGCUUUGCCAGAUGGACAAUCACUUAGCAUGUGUGAACUGUGUGCGGUGGUCAAACAGUGGGAUGUAUUUAGCUUCUGGGGGAGAUGACAAACUGAUUAUGGUGUGGAAGCGGGCUACGUACAUCGGCCCCAGCACCGUGUUCGGCUCCAGUGGUAAGCUUGCCAAUGUGGAGCAGUGGCGGUGUGUCUCUAUCCUCCGGAAUCAUUCAGGCGAACUUCCCACGUUCUGCUGUUUGUCCUGCUGAACAGAAUCAGUACCUUCAUCAGCGGAUCACUAAGUCCCACUGCACCAGGCGCUGAGGUUAGAGAAAUAACUAAGACUGCGCCCUUCACCCCUGAUGGCAGGAUAGGCAAGGUUGGCACCAUCGUCACAGCGGACCUUCAUCGAUGCCUUGAUGUGAUGGAUGUAGCAUGGUCUCCCCACGAUGCCUGGCUAGCCUCAUGCAGCGUGGAUAACACUGUCGUCAUCUGGAAUGCUGUAAAGUUCCCAGAAAUUCUAGCUACUCUGAGAGGUCAUUCUGGCUUGGUCAAAGGGUUGACAUGGGACCCUGUUGGUAAAUACAUAGCUUCUCAAGCUGAUGACCGCAGCCUAAAGGUGUGGAGGACGCUGGACUGGCAGUUGGAGACCAGCAUCACCAAGCCUUUUGAUGAGUGUGGAGGAACAACCCAUGUGUUGCGGCUCAGCUGGUCACCUGAUGGGCAUUACCUGGUGUCUGCCCAUGCCAUGAACAACUCAGGCCCCACUGCCCAGAUCAUCGAACGGGAGGGAUGGAAGACCAACAUGGACUUUGUUGGGCACCGGAAAGCUGUGACUGUCGUGAAAUUCAACCCAAAAAUCUUCAAAAAGAAGCAGAAGAAUGGGAGUUCUGCGAAGCCCAGCUGCCCGUACUGCUGCUGUGCUGUUGGCAGCAAGGACCGCUCGCUUUCUGUCUGGCUCACAUGUCUGAAACGGCCGCUGGUGGUCAUCCAUGAACUGUUUGACAAAUCCAUCAUGGAUAUUUCCUGGACUCUGAAUGGGCUGGGCAUCUUGGUAUGCUCUAUGGACGGCUCUGUGGCAUUCCUCGACUUCUCCCAGGAUGAGCUUGGCGAUCCCCUGAGCGAGGAGGAGAAGAGCCGCAUUCACCAGUCCACCUAUGGCAAGAGCCUAGCCAUCAUGACCGAGGCCCAGCUCUCCACAGCCGUCAUUGAGAACCCUGAGAUGCUCAAGUACCAGCGGAGGCAGCAGCAGCAGCAGCUGGACCAGAAGAGUGCUGCGACCAGGGAGAUGGGCUCAGCCACCUCAGUCGCAGGCGUUGUCAACGGGGAGAGUCUUGAAGAUAUCAGGAAGAAUCUUUUGAAGAAACAAGUUGAGACUCGGACAGCAGAUGGCCGGAGAAGAAUCACGCCUCUCUGCAUAGCACAGCUGGACACUGGGGACUUCUCCACGGCAUUCUUUAACAGCAUCCCCCUCUCGGGCUCCCUGGCGGGCACCAUGCUCUCUUCUCAUAGCAGUCCACAGCUACUGCCACUGGACUCCAGUACCCCUAACUCCUUCGGCGCCUCGAAGCCUUGCACAGAGCCUGUGGUGGCUGCCAGUGCCAGACCUGCAGGCGAUUCUGUCAAUAAAGACAGUAUGAAUGCUACCUCUACUCCUGCUGCAUUGUCACCUUCUGUGUUAACGACCCCGUCCAAGAUCGAGCCCAUGAAAGCGUUUGACUCCCGGUUCACAGAGCGGUCCAAAGCCACACCAGGUGCUCCUGCCCUGACCAGCAUGACUCCGACAGCUGUGGAAAGGUUAAAAGAGCAGAACCUUGUGAAAGAGCUGAGGCCCCGAGACCUCCUGGAGAGCAGCAGUGACAGCGAUGAGAAAGUCCCUUUGGCUAAGGCUUCCUCACUGUCCAAGCGAAAACUUGAGCUUGAGGUAGAGACAGUAGAGAAGAAGAAGAAAGGGCGGCCUCGGAAGGACUCUCGUCUCAUGCCUGUGUCUCUGUCUGUCCAGUCUCCAGCUGCCCUAACCGCAGAGAAGGAGGCCAUGUGUCUGUCUGCACCAGCACUUGCACUGAAGCUGCCAAUUCCAGGCCCCCAGAGAGCAUUCACCCUCCAGGUCAGCUCCGAUCCCUCCAUGUACAUUGAGGUGGAGAAUGAAGUGACAGUGGUGGGGGGCGUGAAGCUGAGCCGCCUGAAGUGCAACCGGGAAGGGAAGGAGUGGGAGACGGUACUCACCAGCCGGAUCCUCACUGCUGCGGGCAGCUGUGACGUGGUGUGUGUCGCCUGUGAAAAAAGGAUGCUGUCAGUGUUCUCCACCUGUGGUCGCCGUCUCCUCUCUCCCAUCCUCCUGCCAUCCCCGAUCUCUACUUUGCAUUGCACAGGCUCCUACGUCAUGGCGCUCACCGCUGCAGCCACACUCUCUGUCUGGGAUGUUCACAGACAGGUGGUUGUGGUGAAAGAAGAGUCUCUACACUCCAUCCUGGCAGGAAGUGAUAUGACGGUAUCACAGAUCUUGCUGACGCAGCAUGGAAUCCCAGUAAUGAACCUGUCCGAUGGGAAGGCGUACUGCUUUAAUCCGUCACUUUCCACAUGGAACCUGGUUUCUGACAAGCAGGACUCACUGGCUCAGUGUGCAGACUUUAGGAGCAGCCUGCCAUCCCAGGACGCCAUGCUGUGCUCAGGACCGUUAGCCAUAAUCCAGGGCCGCACCUCCAACUCGGGAAGGCAGGCUGCCCGGCUCUUCUCCGUGCCUCAUGUGGUGCAGCAAGAGACCACCCUGGCCUACCUAGAGAACCAGGUGGCAGCAGCACUCACCCUGCAGUCCAGCCACGAGUACCGCCAUUGGCUCCUCGUCUACGCACGGUACCUCGUAAACGAAGGGUUUGAAUACCGACUUCGAGAAAUAUGCAAGGACUUACUGGGUCCGGUUCACUACUCCACUGGAAGCCAGUGGGAGUCAACAGUAGUGACUUCUCCAGCACCCAGCCUCAGGUCCCAGCAUCAGUGAGAGGGUGACAUGCCGACGGCCCUCCACAACCUGGCAGGAGCUGGGCCCUGGACAUCAGGAGCCACGGAGUGCUCCGCCACGUGCCUGUGCUGAGGGAGGCUGCCUGCAGGGGCUCUGGGCUUGGUUGUGAAGACAAAAGACGGAAGGGUCUGCGGAAGAGGGAGCUGCUGAAGGAGCUGCUACCAGUCAUCGGGCAGAACCUCCGAUUCCAGCGCCUCUUCACCGAGUGUCAGGAACAGCUCGACAUCCUGAGGGACAAGUAGCCUGCCCCGGCCUGCCCUGGCUGCAGCAAGGGCAGGGCCACACUCUCGCCGCUGAUGACAUGCAGGACCGCCUCUCACCUGACCAGGCUGUAGGGGGAGGAGACACUGGCAGGAGAUGUGCUGUCCUGCACCAGCGCCAGCCCAGCUCCCUGGGCAGAUGUGCCCUGUGUCCUGGGUCUGACAUUGCCUCAGGAGGGGGAAGCUCAUCCCUCCCUCCAAGCCCCCGAUGCGGAGCUAGGGCUGGAGCUCUGCCCAGGUGCCCUGGGGCCAGCAAGGCAGUCCCAGGCCUGCCGUCUCCAGCACGGCCCCAAGGUGGACACUAGCCCCUGCUGCUGCAGGCGCCAUGCUGCUUCAGCAGUGACGAUUGAGCCAUUUGUGAGAGAGAAUCCGGAAGCGUUAGGUAUUACAGCAGACUGACCUGAGACCUAUGUAAAAGGAAAGCUGUUCCAACACACGGACUAUUUUUGUACUAGAAUUUGCUAACUUGUAAUAUUGAAUUUCCUUUGGCCGAUAAUCAGGAUUUCCCUAUAAGUCACUUGGACAUUGGUCACUUGUAGGAAAUUUAAACUCUAAUUAUGACAGCUACACUGAAAAAUAAUUGUACUGAAAUUAACUUGUCUAUCUUCAUUUGGUUUUAAUUUUUAAAUGUUUGUAAAAAGAGACUGUUUUGGGGGAAUGGGGCAAAGGGGGGGGGCGAUUUCUUUUGUAAGUGUAAAAUAAAUGAACACGCAUUGAAUACCAAA